rnacentral:rRNA from 1 species
GAAUUCAACUCCUACGGGAGGCAGCAGUGGGGAAUUUUGGACAAUGGGGGCAACCCUGAUCCAGCAAUGCCGCGUGAGUGAAGAAGGCCUUCAGGUUGUAAAGCUCUUUUGUCAGGGAAGAAACGGUAGUAGCUAAUAUCUAUUACUAAUGACGGUACCUGAAGAAUAAGCACCGGCUAACUACGUGCCAGCAGCCGCGGUAAUACGUAGGGUGCAAGCGUUAAUCGGAAUUACUGGGCGUAAAGCGUGCGCAGGCGGUUGUGUAAGUCAGAUGUGAAAUCCCCGGGCUCAACCUGGGAAUUGCGAUGGAGACUGCAAGGCUAGAAUCUGGCAGAGGGGGGUAGAAUUCCACGUGUAGCAGUGAAAUGCGUAGAGAUGUGGAGGAACACCGAUGGCGAAGGCAGCCCCCUGGGUCAAGAUUGGCGCUCAUGCACGAAAGCGUGGGGAGCAAACAGGAUUAGAAACCCCAGUAGUCCAGGCGUU